GACGAACGCUGGCGGCGUGCUUAACACAUGCAAGUCGAACGGAAAGGCCCUGCUUUUGUGGGGUGCUCGAGUGGCGAACGGGUGAGUAACACGUGAGUAACCUGCCCUUGACUUUGGGAUAACUUCAGGAAACUGGGGCUAAUACCGGAUAGGAGCUCCUGCUGCAUGGUGGGGGUUGGAAAGUUUCGGCGGUUGGGGAUGGACUGGCGGCUUAUCAGCUUGUUGGUGGGGUAGUGGCUUACCAAGGCUUUGAAGGUAGCCGGCCUGAGAGGGUGACCGGCCACAUUGGGACUGAGAUACGGCCCAGACUCGUACGGGAGGCAGCAGUGGGGAAUAUUGCACAAUGGGCGGAAGCCUGAUGCAGCAACGCCGCGUGCGGGAUGACGGCCUUCGGGUUGUAAACCGCUUUCGCCUGUGACGAAGCGUGAGUGACGGUAAUGGGUAAAGAAGCACCGGCUAACUACGUG
rnacentral:rRNA from 1 species